rnacentral:sRNA from 1 species
UAAAUAUGAAAAUAAACCGUAGACAGCGGGUGUGAAAACUUAAUUUCCCGCCGAGGUACGAUAUAAAGAGUAAUCUCGCGGUUUUUUAACAGGCGAGAUUUUUUAU